CUGAUAUUAAUAACAUCGGGAAAUUUGAUAGUACCCGAGGAGGAAGCACGGCUAACUCUGUGCCAGCAGCCGCGGUAAUACAGAGGUGGCAAGCGUUGUUCGGAUUUACUGGGCGUAAAGGGUGCGUAGGCGGUUUCCAUGUGUCGGAUGUGAAAUCCCACGGAUUAUCUGUGGAACGGCAUUCGAAACUAUGGGGCUAGAGUGCAGGAGAGGAGAGUGGAAUUCUCGGUGUAGCGGUGAAAUGCGUUGAUAUCGAGAGGAACACCGGUGGCGAAGGCGGCUCUCUGGACUGCAACUGACGCUGAGGCACGAAAGCUAGGGGAGCAAACAGGAUUAGAUACCCUGGUAGUCCUAGCCAUAAACGGUGCGCACUUGAUGUAGGAGGAAUUAUCCCCUCCUGUGUCGUAGCUAACGCGAUAAGUGCGCCGCCUGGGGAGUACGGUCGCAAGAUUAAAACUCAAAGAAAUUGACGGGGGCCCGCACAAGCGGUGGAGCAUGUGGCUCAAUUCGAUGCAACGCGAAGAACCUUACCUGGACUUGACAUGCUGGUAGUAGAAACCCGAAAGGGCAACGAUCUCGCAAGAGAAGCCAGCACAGGUGCUGCAUGGCUGUCGUCAGCUCGUGCCGUGAGGUGUUAGGUUAAGUCCUGCAACGAGCGCAACCCCUGUGGCUAGUUGCCAUUCCGAAAGGAGGCACUCUAGUCAGACUGCCUGUGAUAAGCAGGAGGAAGGUGGGGAUGACGUCAAGUCAGUAUGGUCCUUAUGUCCAGGGCUGCACACGUGCUACAAUGAUGGGUACAAAGGGAUGCUAGACCGCGAGGUGGAGCAAAUCUCCCAAAACCCAUCUCAGUUCAGAUUGGAGUCUGCAACUCGACUCCAUGAAGCUGGAAUCGCUAGUAGUGGCGCAUCAGCUACGGCGCCGUGAAUACGUUCCCGGGCCUUGUACACACCGCCCGUCACAUCAUGAAAGCCGAUUGCACCCAAAGUAGCUCUUUAGAGUUCCUAAGGUGUGGUUGGUGAUUGGGAUGAAGUCGUAACAAGGUAGCCGAAUCUCUGAAGAUCCGCGCGACCCCAUUUCC
rnacentral:rRNA from 1 species